GACGAACGCUGGCGGCGUGCUUAACACAUGCAAGUCGAGCGGAAAGGCUCCUUCGGGGGUACUCGAGCGGCGAACGGGUGAGUAACACGUGAGUAAUCUGCCCUGUGCUCUGGGAUAGCCACCGGAAACGGUGAUUAAUACCGGAUAUGACCGCUCCACGCAUGUGGUGGUGGUGGAAAGUUUUUCGGCGCAGGAUGUGCUCGCGGCCUAUCAGCUUGUUGGUGAGGUAAUGGCUCACCAAGGCUUUGACGGGUAGCCGGCCUGAGAGGGUGACCGGUCACACUGGGACUGAGACACGGCCCAGACUCCUACGGGAGGCAGCAGUGGGGAAUAUUGGACAAUGGGCGGAAGCCUAAUCCAGCAACGCCGCGUGAGGGAUGACGGCCUUCGGGUUGUAAACCUCUUUCAGUACCGACGAAGCGAUCCUUUGGGUGAGUGACGGUAGGUACAGAAGAAGGACCGGCCAACUACGUGCCAGCCGCCGCCGUAAUAC
rnacentral:rRNA from 1 species